UACGUAGGGGGCGAGCGUUGUCCGGAAUCAUUGGGCGUAAAGCGCGUGUAGGCGGUCCGGUAAGUCCGCUGUGAAAGUCGAGGGCUCAACCCUCGAAUGCCGGUGGAUACUGUCGGGCUUGAGUACGGGAGAGGCGAGUGGAAUUCCUGGUGUAGCGGUGAAAUGCGUAGAUAUCGAGAGGAACACCUGCGGCGAAGGCGGGUUGCUGGGCCGACACUGACGCUGAUGCGCGAAAGCCAGGGGAGCGAACGGG
rnacentral:rRNA from 1 species